rnacentral:snoRNA from 1 species
CCCCUCUCAGGGUCGCACCUGGAGAGUCUCCAGUCCUCUACCAGUCUCGCAUACGGGAGGGAGAGUCAAGCAGAGGCUUACCCAUUCCAUUCCUAGCUGAGGCAGUGGCUAGAAAGUGGAAGACAAUCUGCUACAAGU